rnacentral:rRNA from 1 species
GACGAACGCUGGCGGCGUGCUUAACACAUGCAAGUCGAGCGGAGCGGCGAACGGGUGAGUAACGCGUGAGUAACUGCCCCCCUCUCUGGGAUAACAGUUGGAAACGGCUGCUAAUACCGGAUAGUGGGGGAUGGCUCGGGGCCUAUUAGCUUGUUGGCGGGGUGAUGGCCUACCAAGGCGGUGACGGGUAGCCGGCCUGAGCGGGUGACCGGCCACAUUGGGCUGAGAUACGGCCCAGACUCCUACGGGAGGCAACGGUGGGGAAUAUUGCACAAUAGGGGAAACCCUGAUGCAGCAACGCCGCGUGCGGAAUGACGGCCUUCGGGUUGUAAACCGCUUUCAGCCAUGACGCGGUAGUGGCAGAAGAAGCACCGGCUAACUACGUGCCAGCAGCCGCGGUAAUUC